AUGGGAGCACAGGAGGGGGUCCUAUACAGCAUGCAGACAUUGCCACAAAUAAGCAAGAUUGAAUGGUGGUGACUGAUGGGUCCCUCCUGAUAUCUACUAAUAAUCAAGCACUGCCAAUUGAGCACUGCCAUUGUUCUUUUCCUGGCUAAGGCCCCACUGUUUUAGUUUUGUAAAUACAGAAAUCAGAUCAAAAUUAAUGAGAUUUUGCUGCAUUUACAAUCAAUACCAGUGGUAACAGCUAAAUCAAUCACAGAGUCUGCGUCAGCCGUCAAGAUGAACACAAUAAACAAUGUGUCUUAUCUCUCCAAUUGGAAUCUCCAUGUGAAAGCUCGUCAAUAAAAACAGGUAGGAGAAAGAAGGAGCUGUUUAUUGGACUCCCUCAGAGACACCAGGAAUAUCUAUUUGUUAUUUGUCAUUCCAUACAAUGUAUUCCCUGCAGAACCAGAAAAUCUAGUCCUUGAGUGUGACAGGACCAUUAACUUGUGAGAAAAUGUAAUUGUGAACUGCUGACUGAUUACAGAUGAGAAGGAGGGAGCAAAAGUUACGGAGAAGGUAAUAGUUCCUGAUAGUAGCUCCUGACACUAUGUGACAUGAAUGGCUGUUAGAUUUGCUUCAUUCAAUAAAGAAAAGGGAGGUUAAAGGGUUAGCCAGCUAUUUGACUGAUUUUGAAAGGCCAAAGAAAAAUAUCUGAUCUGUUAGUCUAGUGAAUGGACAGCUUUGUGGCUAUUGGUUGAAUAUUCACAAAAUGAAUGAGAUUUGAGAUCUUACUUUAAAGAAG